GCCACUAGAAGCAUAAGGACGAGUCCAAUUUAAUUCUUGGUUCGUUCCCACCAUGUACAUUAUUCAAAAAAGAGUUGUUUUAAAUCAAAAGCUCAAGUAAAUUGACAAGAUGGCUCCAAAAAGGCAUCAUUGUCCUCAUCGGUUCAUUUACUUCUCCACUCAACAUCAUAAACACGUCAUUUCCAGUGUCCACAAAAGGGAAAAGGGAAAAGGGUUGGGAAGCCUUAUGAAUUAAUCCAAAAUACC
rnacentral:misc_RNA from 1 species